UUACCCGACGUUAGCUGAGAGGUGGUGCAUGGCCGUCGUCAGUUCGUACUGUGAAGCAUCCUGUUAAGUCAGGCAACGAGCGAGACCCACGUCCACAGUUGCCAGCAUACCCUCCGGGGUGAUGGGUACACUGUGGAGACCGCCGCUGCUAAAGCGGAGGAAGGAGUGGGCAACGGUAGGUCAGUAUGCCCCGAAUCUCCCGGGCUACACGCGGGCUACAAUGGUUGGUACAAUGGGCAUCUACCCCGAAAGGGGAAGGAAAUCUCUUAAAGCCAAUCGUAGUUCGGAUUGAGGGCUGCAACUCGCCCUCAUGAAGCUGGAAUCCGUAGUAAUCGCGUUUCAACAGAACGCGGUGAAUACGUCCCUGCUCCUU
rnacentral:rRNA from 1 species